rnacentral:rRNA from 1 species
GAUGAACGCUGGCGGCGUGCCUAAUACAUGCAAGUCGAGCGAACAGACGAGGAGCUUGCUCCUCUGACGUUAGCGGCGGACGGGUGAGUAACACGUGGAUACCCUACCUAUAAGACUGGGAUAACUUCGGGAAACCGGAGCUAAUCCCGGAUAAUCUAUUGAACCGCAUGGUUCAAUAGUGAAAGACGGUUUUGCUGUAACUUAUAGAUGGAUCUGGGCCGCAUUAGCUAGUUGGUAAGGUAACGGCUUACCAAGGCAACGAUGCGUAGCCGAGGGGAGAGGGGGAUCGGCCACACGGGAGCGGGGACACGGACCAGACUCCUACGGGAGGGAGCAGUAGGGAAUCGGCCGCAAUAGGCGAGAGCUUGACGGAGCAACGCCGCGUGAGUGAUGAAGGUCUUCGGAGCGUAAAACUCUGUUAUUAGGGGAGAACAAAUUUGUAAGUAACUAUGCACGUCUUGACGGUACCUAGUCAGAAAGCCACGGCUAACUACGUG